CAGCACCUCAAGUGGUCAGGAUGAUUAUUGGGCCUAAAGCAUCCGUAGCCGGCUCUGUAAGUUUUCGGUUAAAUCUGUACGCUCAACGUACAGGCUGCCGGGAAUACUGCAGAGCUAGGGAGUGGGAGAGGUAGACGGUACUCGGUAGGAAGGGGUAAAAUCCUUUGAUCUAUUGAUGACCACCUGUGGCGAAGGCGGUCUACCAGAACACGUCCGACGGUGAGGGAUGAAAGCCAGGGGAGCAAAACGGAUUAGAUACCCGAGUAGUCC
rnacentral:rRNA from 1 species